AGAGUUUGAUCAUGGCUCAGGACGAACGCUGGCGGCGUGCUUAACACAUGCAAGUCGAACGGAAAGGCCCUUCGGGGUACUCGAGUGGCGAACGGGUGAGUAACACGUGGGUGAUCUGCCCUGCACUUUGGGAUAAGCCUGGGAAACUGGGUCUAAUACCGAAUAUGACCACGCUCUUCAUGGGGUGUGGUGGAAAGCUUUUGCGGUGUGGGAUGGGCCCGCGGCCUAUCAGCUUGUUGGUGGGGUAAUGGCCUACCAAGGCGACGACGGGUAGCCGGCCUGAGAGGGUGACCGGCCACACUGGGACUGAGAUACGGCCCAGACUCCUACGGGAGGCAGCAGUGGGGAAUAUUGCACAAUGGGCGCAAGCCUGAUGCAGCGACGCCGCGUGAGGGAUGACGGCCUUCGGGUUGUAAACCUCUUUCGCCAGGGACGAAGCGCAAGUGACGGUACCUGGAGAAGAAGCACCGGCCAACUACGUGCCAGCAGCCGCGGUAAUACGUAGGGUGCGAGCGUUGUCCGGAAUUACUGGGCGUAAAGAGCUCGUAGGUGGUUUGUCGCGUUGUUCGUGAAAACUCACAGCUUAACUGUGGGCGUGCGGGCGAUACGGGCAGACUAGAGUACUGCAGGGGAGACUGGAAUUCCUGGUGUAGCGGUGGAAUGCGCAGAUAUCAGGAGGAACACCGGUGGCGAAGGCGGGUCUCUGGGCAGUAACUGACGCUGAGGAGCGAAAGCGUGGGGAGCGAACAGGAUUAGAUACCCUGGUAGUCCAA
rnacentral:rRNA from 1 species